AGUAAAAAGAUUUUUUGAGAAGUGGAAAUAAAGACAAAACUUCUUGGUGAAAAUAAGUGAAAUUAUCCAGUACUUCAAGUCUCUCGCUGAAGUUUCAUUAACUGGAGGUGGAUACCAAUCUUGAAGUUUUCCAAAAUAGGAGAUAUCUACUUCUACAUAUAAGCAUUUACUAUAAGGUAACUAGCAACAUUUGUAUCUUAGAAACAUUACAUAAGUUUUAGACUUAACAUAUAGUUGGAAAAGGAAUAUUGGACUAUUAGAAUGCUUAUAAAAUCCUAAUU
rnacentral:lncRNA from 1 species